UUGAGCUACCUGACAGCUUAGUUUUGUGCUAUAGGAUAUUACAUUGGUGAUGCAACCCAGUAAUAAUAAUCUACAAAAAGGAAAAAUAUAUGUUUGUGGAUUCAUCGUAUUUUGGCCAUUUCCUUAGGGAAGUAUGCUGACCUGACAAGCGCAGCAUUGGAGCUAUUGACUAUGCCAUCACAAGUGUUUAUUAUGGUUAACAUUCUUGGCUGGGCUGACAUAGGAAAUAUCUGGGUCCCAUUUCCUUCCCAUGCUUUCUGGUCAGAACUUGUGAUUCAUGUUGCACUAUUGAGUUUAUGUGUUGAUUGGGAUGUCUUUGAGUACAAGUGGCUGCUUUUUGGUUGUGCUGCACUUACUCAUGAUGCACAAGGUGGGCUCCAAUUUUGUUUACGUAUCUAAUUUGUUUGUGUUGAAUGUAAACAUGUUUCAUGCUGAAAAGAAAUUAACAUUUAACAAUUUUCCUUUCCUGCUGUGAUGAUAUAGUGGUACACAGAACUAGAUUCCAUGUUUUUUUUUGGGUCUAGCAAAGGUUCACACUAAGCUCCUGUACUGGGUUUAUCAUGUUCUUAGUAAUAGGCCAAAAGUGAUGAAAAUACUGCUGCAGGAAUAUCAUAGUGCUAGUUUUACAUGUAUGGUUUUUGUUACCAUUAUGGGCUCAUUAAGGCUAAAGAAUGAGUUACGAGUACUAUAUCAUGUUGAAGCAGUGGGAGCUCGUGUUGUUCCUCUGACGAUUCAGUGGUUAACAUUUAUCCAUAUCAUAUCAAAUCAUCAAGCUG
rnacentral:lncRNA from 1 species